GGGGGGGGGGGGGGGGGGGGCGAGGGCAUGGAAGGAGGGCGGGCGGGUGAUACCGUAGCUUGCUACACGAUAAACUGUGAGUUGCGAACGGGUGAGUAACGCGUAGGUAACCUGCCUGGUAGCGGGGGAUAACUAUUGGAAACGAUAGCUAAUACCGCAUAAUAUUAAUUAUUGCAUGAUAAUUGAUUGAAAGAUGCAAUUGCAUCACUACCAGAUGGACCUGCGUUGUAUUAGCUAGUAGGUGAGGUAACGGCUCACCUAGGCGACGAUACAUAGCCGACCUGAGAGGGUGAUCGGCCACACUGGGACUGAGACACGGCCCAGACUCCUACGGGAGGCAGCAGUAGGGAAUCUUCGGCAAUGGACGAAAGUCUGACCGAGCAACGCCGCGUGAGUGAAGAAGGUUUUCGGAUCGUAAAGCUCUGUUGUAAGAGAAGAACGGGUGUGAGAGUGGAAAGUUCACACUGUGACGGUAUCUUACCAGAAAGGGACGGCUAACUACGU
rnacentral:rRNA from 1 species